rnacentral:rRNA from 1 species
CCUACGGGAGGCAGCAGUGAGGAAUAUUGGUCAAUGGGCGUAAGCCUGAAUCAGCCAAGUAGCGUGAGGGAUGAAGGUUCUAUGGAUCGUAAACCUCUUUUAUAAGGGAAUAAAGUGCGGGACGUGUGCCGUUUUGUAUGUACCUUAUGAAUAAGGAUCGGCUAACUCCGUGCCAGCAGCCGCGGUAAUACGGAGGAUCCGAGCGUUAUCCGGAUUUAUUGGGUUUAAAGGGAGCGUAGGGGGGCUGUUAAGUCAGUGGUGAAAGUUUGCGGCUCAACCGUAAAAUUGCCAUUGAAACUGGCAGUCUUGAGUACAUUUGAGGCAGGCGGAAUUCGUGGUGUAGCGGUGAAAUGCUUAGAUAUCACGCAGAACCCCGAUUGCGAAGGCAGCCUACUAAGCCACCACUGACGCUGAUGCUCGAAAGCGUGGGGAUCAAACAGGAUUAGAUACCCCUGUAGUC